rnacentral:piRNA from 1 species
UUAUAUGAAGGAUUAUUUAAA